rnacentral:misc_RNA from 1 species
UCCGGUUUGACACCGGCAGUCUCCCUAGAGUGCCCGGCUUUACCCGCUGGUAACUAGGGACGAGGGUUGCGCUCGUUGCGGGACUUAACCCAACAUCUCACGACACGAGCUGACGACAGCCAUGCAGCACCUGUCUCCGCGCCCUUGCGGGGACCACCCAUCUCUGGGCUUAGCGCGGGAUGUCAAACCCAGGUAAGGUUCUUCGCGUUGCGUCGAAUUAAACCACAUGCUCCGCUGCUUGUGCGGGUCCCCGUCAAUUCCUUUGAGUUUUAGCCUUGCGGCCGUACUCCCCAGGCGGGGUACUUAAUGCGUUAGCUACGGCACGGAUCCCAAGGAAGGAAACCCACACCUAGUACCCACCGUUUACGGCUGGGACUAC